GCCUGCCCUGUGAUUAAAAUUUAACGGCCGCGGUAUCUUGACCGUGCAAAGGUAGCGCAAUCACUUGUCUUUUAAAUGAAGACCUGUAUGAAUGGCAUAACGAGGGCUUAACUGUCUCCUUUUUCCUAUCAAUGAAAUUGAUCUCCCCGUGCAGAAGCGGGGAUAAAAACAUAAGACGAGAAGACCCUAUGGAGCUUAAAACGCAAGAACAGAAUAAUACUCCUUCAUAUUUACCAAAAUAUGAAAUACAAUUAUAAACCUGUUCAAAUGUUUUUGGUUGGGGCGACCACGGAGUAUAAUUAAACCUCCACGAGGAACAAAGACAUUCCUUUUCAUUUAAGGGUGACAACCCUAAAAAACAGAACAUCUGACCACCUUGAUCCGGCAAAGCCGAUCAACGAACCGAGUUACCCUAGGGAUAACAGCGCAAUCCUCUUUUAGAGUCCAUAUCGACAAGAGGGUUUACGACCUCGAUGUUGGAUCAGGACAUCCUAAUGGUGCAGCCGCUAUUAAGGGUUCGUUUGUUCAACGAUUAAAGUCCUACGUGAUCUGA
rnacentral:rRNA from 1 species